GGAGAGUGCUCCCAGUGGGGGUACUGGGCACGCCUGACAAGCGUUGAGGGUUGGUCACAGCCCCAGAGGUUCAAGUCCUCCACUCUCCG
rnacentral:tRNA from 1 species